rnacentral:rRNA from 1 species
GGACUACACGGGUUUCUAAUCCUGUUUGCUCCCCACGCUUUCGCGUCUCAGCGUCAGUAAUCUUCCAGAUGGCCGCCUUCGCCACAGGUGUUCCUCCUGAUAUCUACGAAUUUCACCUCUACACCAGGAAUUCCGCCAUCCCCUCCGAUACUCAAGUUUAACAGUAUCAGAUGCAGUUCCUCAGUUAAGCUGAGGGAUUUCACAUCUGACUUAUCAAACCGCCUACACGCGCUUUACGCCCAGUAAUUCCGAACAACGCUUGCACCCUCUGUAUUACCGCGGCUGCUGGCAC